rnacentral:rRNA from 1 species
UACGUAGGCAGCGAGCGUUGUUCGGAGUUACUGGGCGUAAAGAGUGCGUAGGCGGUUUUCUAAGUUUGGUGUGAAAUCUCCCGGCUUAACUGGGAGGGUGCGCCGAAAACUGGAAGGCUUGAGUAUGGGAGAGGUAAGCGGAAUUCCUGGUGUAGCGGUGAAAUGCGUAGAUAUCAGGAGGAACACCUGCGGUGUAGACGGCUUACUGGACCAUAACUGACGCUGAGGCACAAAAGCGUGGGUAGCAAACAGG